rnacentral:rRNA from 1 species
UGGGGAAUAUUGCACAAUGGGCGCAAGCCUGAUGCAGCCAUGCCGCGUGUGUGAAGAAGGCCUUCGGGUUGUAAAGCACUUUCAGCGAGGAGGAAGGGUAGUGUGUUAAUAGCACAUUGCAUUGACGUUACUCGCAGAAGAAGCACCGGCUAACUCCGUGCCAGCAGCCGCGGUAAUACGGAGGGUGCAAGCGUUAAUCGGAAUUACUGGGCGUAAAGCGCACGCAGGCGGUUUGUUAAGUCAGAUGUGAAAUCCCCGCGCUUAACGUGGAACUGCAUUUGAAACUGGCAAGCUAGAGUCUUGUAGAGGGGGGUAGAAUUCCCAGGUGUAGCGGUGAAAUGCGUAGAGAUCUGGAGGAAUACCGGUGGCGAAGGCGGCCCCCUGGACAAAGACUGAC